AUAGCUGAUAAGGCCAAAGGUUAGAAAAAUUCUAGAAAUUUCCAACAACACAAACAAUCCUACUCGAUUUGCAUUGUUCAUCUUCUUCCUUAGGAUGAAAAUGAUGUAGAGAGGAACCCUCACCUAGCAGAUUCAUGAGCGUAGAUAAACGAAGAUAUCUAGCUUGGAUUGAAUCAAUCAUUCAUUAAAAACUCUCACUUAAGCUAUGAUUCAAUCCAUUGAAUUUGUAGCAGAUGUUGAAAAAUAAUCCUCGUUUAUGUUAGCAAAUAUUUGAUUUUGUGAUCUCUAUAUUGUCUAGAAUGACUUUGAAAUGCUAUUGGCUCUUGAUGAGAACAACCUCAAACAUGGUGGUUCAUUGGCAUGACAAAUCAACAACUUUCCACAGUCAACAGUUCACUUAGUGGGAAUACACCGGGAGUAUGAUAAUCCUAUGGACAAUAGCAAUAAUUCAAGGGAGCGGUUGGCUCGCCAAAAACAAAACCUGAGACGUCGAUUGGGUAACUUAAAUUUUCAUCAAGAAGCUCUGCCAGCCAUCGACAACUUAUUUUCGAGGUGAAUAGGUUAGCUAAGGUUUCAAGAAUCCAAUUAUUGCCGGUUGAAGAAUUAGAGGAUGGAUACAUUCCCUGAUAAAUAUGAUUAUUAGUAAUUUUCCCAUGAGAUUUAUAAUUCUGGUGCAUGCUUGCAAAAGUUAUUAUUAUUUUAUGUAUGCACCUAUAGAGAGGAACUAUAAUAGAAUCAGUUGAUCCUGCUAUGAGUUACUGAUAUUUUGGUGAUUCGCAAAUAUGUUUGAGCUUAUCAAUUCCCUUGAAGACAGUUGCGAGUAUAACUAAAUCAGUUUUUACUGGUUCAGCUUGACCUUUGAGCACAAUACAUUCUUUUGUGAAUCCAAAAUUCUCUGCUUUCUUGAUGAG